AUCCCUGUAGUGCAAUAAAUAUCGCGUUGAACUUCUAAUCAAAAAUUCGUGGGUUCGAAUCCCACCUGGGAUG